UAUUGAUUGGUGCUUGCAUCAUGAUUUACAUUUGAGUGAGUGGCGAACUGGUGAGUAACACGUGGGAAACCUGCCCAGAAGCGGGGGAUAACACCUGGAAACAGACGCUAAUACCGCAUAACAACUUGGACCGCAUGGUCCGAGUUUGAAAGAUGGCUUCGGCUAUCACUUUUGGAUGGUCCCGCGGCGUAUUAGCUAGAUGGUGGGGUAACGGCUCACCAUGGCAAUGAUACGUAGCCGACCUGAGAGGGUAAUCGGCCACAUUGGGACUGAGACACGGCCCAAACUCCUACGGGAGGCAGCAGUAGGGAAUCUUCCACAAUGGACGAAAGUCUGAUGGAGCAACGCCGCGUGAGUGAAGAAGGGUUUCGGCUCGUAAAACUCUGUUGUUAAAGAAGAACAUAUCUGAGAGUAACUGUUCAGGUAUUGACGGUAUUUAACCAGAAAGCCACGGCUAACUACGUGCCAGCAGCCGCGGUAAUACGUAGGUGGCAAGCGUUGUCCGGAUUUAUUGGGCGUAAAGCGAGCGCAGGCGGUUUUUUAAGUCUGAUGUGAAAGCCUUCGGCUCAACCGAAGAAGUGCAUCGGAAACUGGGAAACUUGAGUGCAGAAGAGGACAGUGGAACUCCAUGUGUAGCGGUGAAAUGCGUAGAUAUAUGGAAGAACACCAGUGGCGAAGGCGGCUGUCUGGUCUGUAACUGACGCUGAGGCUCGAAAGUAUGGGUAGCAAACAGGAUUAGAUACCCUGGUAGUCCAUACCGUAAACGAUGAAUGCUAAGUGUUGGAGGGUUUCCGCCCUUCAGUGCUGCAGCUAACGCAUUAAGCAUUCCGCCUGGGGAGUACGGCCGCAAGGCUGAAACUCAAAGGAAUUGACGGGGGCCCGCACAAGCGGUGGAGCAUGUGGUUUAAUUCGAAGCUACGCGAAGAACCUUACCAGGUCUUGACAUACUAUGCAAAUCUAAGAGAUUAGACGUUCCCUUCGGGGACAUGGAUACAGGUGGUGCAUGGUUGUCGUCAGCUCGUGUCGUGAGAUGUUGGGUUAAGUCCCGCAACGAGCGCAACCCUUAUUAUCAGUUGCCAGCAUUAAGUUGGGCACUCUGGUGAGACUGCCGGUGACAAACCGGAGGAAGGUGGGGAUGACGUCAAAUCAUCAUGCCCCUUAUGACCUGGGCUACACACGUGCUACAAUGGAUGGUACAACGAGUUGCGAACUCGCGAGAGUAAGCUAAUCUCUUAAAGCCAUUCUCAGUUCGGAUUGUAGGCUGCAACUCGCCUACAUGAAGUCGGAAUCGCUAGUAAUCGCGGAUCAGCAUGCCGCGGUGAAUACGUUCCCGGGCCUUGUACACACCGCCCGUCACACCAUGAGAGUUUGUAACACCCAAAGUCGGUGGGGUAACCUUUUAGGAACCAGCCGCCUAAGGUGGGA
rnacentral:rRNA from 2 species